rnacentral:rRNA from 1 species
GACGAACCGUGCGAACGUUGUUCGGAUUCACUGGGCUUAAAGGGCGCGUAGGCGGGCCGUCAAGUCAGGGGUGAAAUCUUUCGGCUCAACCGGAAAAGUGCCUUUGAUACUGGCGGCCUCGAGGGAGGUAGGGGCGUGCGGAACUUCCGGUGGAGCGGUGAAAUGCGUAGAUAUCGGAAGGAACGCCGGUGGCGAAAGCGGCGCGCUGGACCUCUUCUGACGCUGAGGCGCGAAAGCCAGGGGAGCAAACGGG